rnacentral:rRNA from 1 species
CACUCCUACGGGAGGCAGCAGUGGGGAAUUUUGGACAAUGGGCGAAAGCCUGAUCCAGCAAUGCCGCGUGCAGGAUGAAGGCCUUCGGGUUGUAAACUGCUUUUGUACGGAACGAAAAAGCUCCUUCUAAUACAGGGGGCCCAUGACGGUACCGUAAGAAUAAGCACCGGCUAACUACGUGCCAGCAGCCGCGGUAAUACGUAGGGUGCGAGCGUUAAUCGGAAUUACUGGGCGUAAAGCGUGCGCAGGCGGUUAUGUAAGACAGAUGUGAAAUCCCCGGGCUCAACCUGGGAACUGCAUUUGUGACUGCAUGGCUAGAGGACGGUAGAGGGGGAUGGAAUUCCGCGUGUAGCAGUGAAAUGCGUAGAUAUGCGGAGGAACACCGAUGGCGAAGGCAAUCCCCUGGACCUGUACUGACGCUCAUGCACGAAAGCGUGGGGAGCAAACAGGAUUAGAAACCCUUGUAGUCC